rnacentral:rRNA from 1 species
UACGGGGGGGGCAAGCGUUGUUCGGAAUUACUGGGCGUAAAGGGCGCGUAGGCGGCCUGCUAAGUCGGAUGUGAAAUCCCUCGGCUCAACCGAGGAACUGCAUCCGAUACUGGCGGGCUUGAAUCCGGGAGAGGGAUGUGGAAUUCCAGGUGUAGCGGUGAAAUGCGUAGAUAUGCGGAGGAACACCGAUGGCGAAGGCAAUCCCCUGGGCCUGCACUGACGCUCAUGCACGAAAGCGUGGGGAGCAAACAGG